GAUGUUUUUGGCAUGGGGACCCACUGUUUCAGCGUUCCAGUACUGGUUAUAAACCCCAAGUAAGAGCCUGGUCAUCACGGAGCGUGUAGUUACAGCAAGUAGACACUUCAAGGGCUGUGUAGUGAAGUAAUUGCUGAGAUAGUGUACGGAAGCAGAGAGUACACGGUUCAUCCAACAAGUAAUUGCUGGAGGAGCAAAUAGGGACACCUAACCAUCGCAGGGACGUCUCAGGAUAUCCUUUCUGGAAGAAAAGUCUGUUGAAAUCUGAAGGACCACUGGUUGAAGUUAACCAGGAAAGAAAAGGUGUUGCGGCAUACUUGGUUUUGCUAUGACAAAAGAUAAUAUCCAGAGAUAUUUUGGCACUAAGGCGCAAUCUGUAGCAAGAAAGUUGAGCGGUCUGAGCUGUUGAGACUUCGAAGGAGACUUCAGAGAACCAAGACAGUGUAAAGGAAAACAGGAAAAAAGACUUGUUAGACAUUAUUAAGGGCACGAAAGUUGAAUCGAGCACAGUAAAUGUACAAACAACAAAGCCACCCAGCAGAAGUCCACUUAAAAGCUACAACUGGCAGGCCUCAAAAAGCUGCAGGACAUGCUCUAAA